UACGGAGGGUGCAAGCGUUAAUCGGAAUUACUGGGCGUAAAGCGUGCGUAGGUGGUUCGUUAAGUCCGUUGUGAAAGCCCCGAGCUCAACUUGGGAAUUGCAGUGGAUACUGGCGAGCUGGAGUGCGGUAGAGGAAGGUGGAAUUCCCGGUGUAGCGGUGAAAUGCGUAGAGAUCGGGAGGAACACCAGUGGCGAAGGCGGCCUUCUGGACCAGCACUGACACUCAAGCACGAAAGCGUGGGGAGCAAACAGA
rnacentral:rRNA from 1 species